rnacentral:rRNA from 1 species
GAUGAACGCUGGCGGCGUGCUUAACACAUACAAGUCGAACGGAAAGGCCCCUGCUUGCAGGGGUACUCGAGUGGCGAACGGGUGAGUAACACGUGGGUGACCUGCCCCGCACUUCGGGAUAAGCCUGGGAAACUGGGUCUAAUACCGGAUAGGACCACUUCGUGGAGGUUGUGGUGGGAAGUUUUUUCGGGGUGGGAUGAGCUCGCGGCCUAUCGGCUUGUUGGUGGGGAAAUGGCCUACCAAGGCGUCGACGGGUAGCCGGCCUGGGAGGGUGUACGGCCACAUUGGGACUGAGAUACGGCCCAGACUCCUACGGGAGGCAGCAGUGGGGAAUAUUGCACAAUGGGCGCAAGCCUGAUGCAGCGACGCCGCGUGGGGGAUGACGGCCUUCGGGUUGUAAACUCCUUUCGCUAGGGACGAAGCGUUAUGUGACGGUACCUAGAGAAGAAGCACCGGCUAACUACGUGCCAGCAGCCGCCGUAA